CCUCACCAGAAGCACUUACCUCACAACCACAUGGGUACUUAAUAUUUAUGAAAAUAGUCAUGACGUGGAAUUUAAGGUGCAAAAACGCUUUAUUUCAUAUGCAAUAUUACUUAGAGAUUUCCCCAAACUGAAUUAUUAAAUGUACAUUUCUAUUUCAGAUAAAUGGAGAAUUCAGAGUCGAACCAUCCUAGACCUAAAAAAGGAAAGAAAAACUCAAAGAAUUUGAAACAAAAUUCUAAUAACGAGGCAACUAGGAGCAUGACCCCUCAGAUGGCUCAUGAAUUUGAAGAGCUCUUCGAACACACACACUGCCAAAUUGAGAGCCAUCCCCACCGCUAUCUCAACAUCUAUAACCCCACCCUACGUGAACUUCUUUUCUUACUCCGAUUGAUUUUUCUACACUAAGUGGGAAACACCACCACUAUUUUGUUUGGGGAGCCUCUGCCUCUGUUAGCAACUUUGUUUGGGACCCCCUUUUUAGCAUCACCACCUGCUCCAUCAUGUAGAAUGAAGCAGAAAUAAAUUAAUAAACAUGAAUGCUGUACAUUGACUGUUUAAAGUUUACAUUGUCUGCCAAUAGAAUAGCUACCCUUGCUUUUUUCUGGG
rnacentral:lncRNA from 1 species